rnacentral:lncRNA from 13 species
AAGUCACUUUGGCAUCCACAGUCAGAUGUCACCUGGGGUCACAGUCGCCUGUAUGCGGUGGAAAGUUCUAAGCAGUUGCAGUUGCUUUUGUGAUAUGCCAGUUGACUUGAAGACAGAAGUCCAAAACCCAACAGGAAGAUGGAAUGACUGGGAAGUAGGGGAAAAAACAGAAAAGCACAGUGGUGCUCUCCUGCGAAUGCAGCAUCUGUCCCACCUCCACGCAGUCAAGCAAAGCAGAGGGCAUGUGAACCGAAAAAUUUAAGGUUCAGGUGUGCCCAAGCAGCAGCUGUAUCUGUUUAUCAGAGGGUUGCCCUCGAUCCAGAGAUAUUUUGAUAAUGCAGUAAUGAAGAUUGGCUUCCUUCUAGAAAUGACAGUCCUUAACCAGUGAAUGACAGAGUCUGAUAAUUCUGGGAAGAGGCCUGUAGAUUGUCACCUGGGGAGUCCAGCAGAAAACCAAUCCUGCAACUCCAGAAAGCUGGACAGGCGCUUCAAAAAGCCCACUUUUUCCUAUACUGGGAGUGGUCAGCUCUCUCCUUCCUCCAGGCCCUUGGAGCCUUGGGACUGUCUCCUAUUGCUCUGCAGAGUGGGCUGUGUUGGACACAGUGCAAAGAGUAAAAUCAAUGACGCAAAUGGGGAGAACUGCAGUGACUCAAGCUUCUCCUGCCUUCUCCUUACAUAAACUUCAAGAGCAUCUAGUUCAGGAGAAGCAUCCACAUUUCAUUCAACAUGACACGCUCCCUAGGAAACUUUCCACAGUGCCCACAUCACUAGAGGCUGGACUUGCUGUGAUCACCAUGGCUCUUGGGCCAACCCUGGAAACAUUCCAAAGACACAAGCUUGGCAAGAAGCCUAAAGAGAAAUACCCAGAAGUC